GGGCCUCAAAUAAUGUGUGACUACCCCAAAUUUAAGCAU
rnacentral:rRNA from 1 species